UACGGAGGGGGCGAGCGUUAUUCGGAAUUAUUGGGCGUAAAGGGCGCGUAGGCGGCCCCUUAAGUCAAAGGUGAAAUCCCUCGGCUCAACUGAGGAACUGCCUUUGAAACUGAUGGGCUUGAGGCCGGGAGGGGGUAGCGGAAUUCCCAGUGUAGCGGUGAAAUGCGUAGAUAUCGUAAGGAAGACCAGUGGCGAAGGCGGGUCUCUGGACAGUUCCUGACGCUGAGGAGCGAAAGCGUGGGGAGCGAACAGG
rnacentral:rRNA from 1 species